AAACCUGUUCACGAUAAUUAUUGUAUACAUUACCUUUAUUUUUGUAAUCUUCUCCCCUAUUUGUGGAUAUUCUUGAGUGAAAUAGAUGAGGCCACGUAGGGAACACAUGAAGUUACCUAGGAGCAGAGUCUAAAAUAUCUUUUUGAAGGACCUCAAACUAUUAUCAUUUGCUAUACUAUUGAUCAUUACGUUAAGUACAUCUUAUUCGUAUAUGGAAAGUACUUAAUGAAGAUAAUAUACUUUAUAUUUUUUUAUGUAACCAUUCAAGUAUUUGUUGAAAUGCUUUUGUUACUGAUAAAUACAUGUACAUUUAAAUUGAUUUUGUUCUGUCUGUGAUUUUGUAGAUCUGGAUGUUCAGCUGGUCUCAGAUCAAGCAUCCUCCUCUGUACUGACUCCACUAUCCCCAGCUUCAUCCCAUUCAUCAGAUUCCACAAUUGUCCUGGAGUCCAGAAGAAAGAGGAGGAACCCAACAGGGUUAAUGGAGCAGAAUGAAGCAAGACAGAAAGUUGAUUGUGUUCUGAGGGUCAAUCCAAAGGGUGAGGAAAUCUUCAAGGAGUAUGAAAAGACCAAAACACUAACAGAUGCCACACAUAAACAGAUGGUGAACGUCCUGGUUGCAGACAUGUUAGAGCUACAUGGGUAAGAAUUGGAGGUCACUUCCCUUCCUUUGUCAUCACAACAGAUUCAUGUGGCACAGAUAAAGAAUGCUAUUCUGUGUUGCUAUAAAAGGGGAAUUUAUCCUUUAACUUCUUGCAAAACAUACACACUUGCAAAGUAAACUGAUUUAUUUUGAAAGGAGGAUUCCAUCCUCAAGUGUGAGGACCAGUUAUGCACUGGGAAUUGUGACACUUUUUCCAUACUUCCAAGAUCCUUUCUCCAAACAUGGAUAUGAACACUACUAUGAUCCUUUAGGGUAAUACUGGCUUCAUUGCAUGGAGGAUCAAGACAGUUCAACAUAACACCUGUGCUGGCUCCCAGUGUCAUUCCAAGACUGUUCUUCAGGAUGGUCCAAAAACCAGACGAGAAUCUCUGUUAUUCUGUCAACAGCGAUUUGGUGAGGAGUGCAGGGAGGCGAUAUCUACAAUACGAUAUUCCACUGAUGAAUCUGUGGUCAAAGAGAAGAUGAGCGACUUUCCAGUAUUGACAGAAGAUGGUCUGUGAGGAUGCAUCAUCUUCAGUCCUGGAUUUGUUCACUCGUUUCCUUGCUGUAUCUGGAUUGGUAAGAAAAUCUUUAGCUUUGGAAGUAGUUUUGAAAAGGAAAUGACCUUCUCUGUAGUUAUUAAAGGAGUUCACUGGUACAGCAGAGAAAGGAGUUGUUCAAUGAUCACCAUAACAAUAACAGGCCGGUCCAAACUGAGAAAUUCAACGUUCUAAUCUUUUAUAUCCCAAAUGUAUGCA